AGGCAACCGUGCGACCACCCCAGCCACAUGUGACUGAGAACGAUCCUCUACAGCUCACGAACCCCAAAGGAUCCUUAGCCAUUAUUCACGCUCAGAUCGAACGGCCAUGCUUCAUCUUCCAGACUGUGGUUCCUGUCUCCUUCGUGCUAAAGGACACAGAGGUACGAUCCUAUAGAACAGAUCCUGUUCAAGUAAGGUCGUGCCUUUGUCACCUAACCUCACUUAUUAGAUGGGCUGCUUCGUUCUAUCAACUUUCCGAUGUGGGAUUGCAAGUCGCUUCCUUCAAGGCUUAAAUCGUCUUUUCGACACGUAAAGGCAAUUGUGGCACGCGUCUCUCACAUGACAAAAGCCGGCGAUAUCAGUAUUUGUUAAAUAAUUCAAUUAUCAAGCUUCCAAAAAUAAAAUAGCAGCACAGACUCCCAGUCCCCAGAGAGGAAGAAAGCUGGUUCAGGAGAUAUUCUUCUUCUUUUUCUUCGUGCUUGUUAGAGAGAUCCGAUUAGGUUCCUCUGGUUACUCUAACGUUAAGCGUGAAUCAAAUUUAGAUCACCGACAGAGAGAGAGAGUGAGAGAGAGAGAAUGGGAGGGUAUGCUUUGGGGUUGGCUUUUGAUUUGAAAUCAGGGCAGAUGAUAAUGGUGGCUUUAUUAUUAAUGGUGGGUUCUUUCUACUUGGGCACUCUAUUUGGCAACAAUGCUCCCGUUUAUGUCUCUCAAUUCUCCUCUAAUUCCUCUUCCUCUUCAUUUCCUGAUAUGUGCACAUUUAGCAGCAAAAUUGCUCGCAUCUAACUGAAAAUGGGAUGAAUAUAUGCCCCCUGAAGUUUAAUGAGUAAAUCCCUUGCCAUGAUGUUCCCCAAGUGAAAAGUCUACUCCCAAGCUUAGAUCUUUCUUGAAAAGAAGAGCUGGAGAGGCGUUGCCCUCCACCUGAAAAGCGUCUACUUCUGCUUGGUGCCACCCCAGAAGAUUAUAAAUUGCCAACCAGCUGGAAUCAUGUUUGGCAAAGCAAUGUGAAUCAGACACGUCUUGCUGCAGUCAAAGGAAUUGGGUGCAUGAAAAGGAUCAAUUGCGGUGGUUCGCAGGAGGCGAUAAUAAUUUCAAAAUUCAAAGCAUGGGGCACCUGAGUACAUUCGGAGGUUGGAACUAUGACGACUAAUGAAACUGGUGAUCUACUGUCAGCUGGGGUUGUUGAAGUUAAGGAUGUUGGGCUGCGUGUUUGCUGGCUUCUCUGGUUGUCUCCUUCCCUUGGAAAUACAAACAUGUCUUUUUCUCCCAAAGAUGAUUCUUAUUUUUGUUUUGUUUUGGAAUUGAAGAAACUGCAGUUCAAACUGAUUGUACUUUGGGUUCAAUUUGAUUUCUGAUAUAUAUUUUUUAUUUUCUUUUAAUUUUGUAUGUCCUAAAUAUAUAUAUAUAUAUAUAUAUUAUUUGAAUUAUUUCUAUUUCAAAUUCUUGAUAUGUUUUUGUUUCAGACACCAUAUCUUCUGAUCUAUUUCUUGGUGCAGCUAUACUGUCUGAUCUAUUUCUUGGUGCAGCUAUACACUUUUGAAGAUCGCCGAAAUUGCCGUGAGGCCUGAACUCACUCCCUCUCUAGCAAGACUAGUAAUACAGAAGGGGUGCUGAAAAUUGUAAUCUGUUAGUGAUUGGCUGCUUUUAAUUUGAAAUAGCAUGCAAGGCUUUUUUCUUAUGCUUAUUCUUUAUAUCCUUCUCCUUGUCAAUGCUUUUUUGAUAUGACAAAUUUGAUGCACAAAACCCUUUUAAGUGUUCAUACGUUUAUUUUCCUAUGAUUUUUUAUAUUCAGGUGUAGGUUCGGAAUUUGAUCUCUAUGUUUUUUUUGGUUCAGAAAAUCAGUACCCCUUCCGCUGAAAUGGUUUGCUAUUGGUCAGUGCUGGCGAUAUGAGAGGAUGACAAGGGGUCGUCGUCGAGAGCACUACCAAUGGAAUAUGGAUAUUGUUGGUGUACCCGAAGUCACAGUGUAUUAUGCAGCUUAUUAAUGAUGGACGAUUGGCUAAUAAAUGCGGAGCCAGCUAGUUCAUAUUCUAUUUAUCAUCUGCAUCAUUUCAGUCCAUUUCACUACAUGCGCAUUUAUGACCUUGAUGAUGUACUGAAGAGGCGAUUAGCAUGUUGGAGGUCGGCGUCUUUCCCUAGUUUUAUUAGGUCAUGCCCGGCUCACCCAGUCUGUAUUGAGGUGGGUCUCUCCUGGUUACUUAUGAUUUAUUAGGCUUCCAUCCAAUAUCGUGCCUUAAAAAAAUCUGUCCAUCUAUUUUAGGCUUUGAUAGGGUCAGAGGUAUUGUUCUGAUCUUUAUAUUUCUUAGGUCGAGUUUUCUGAUGCUCGGUCGGACUAAAUGGUGAGCUUCAUGGAACAUUUCUAAAUCUCGUGUACACGUGUGGUGAUCUAAACGGGUUUUAUUAUUCAUAUAUUAUCAAAGAGUAAUGUUCGGAAUUUA